UGUUAGAAAGCGAAAUACUUGCACUUAGUUUCGACCUAAGCUUUGGCCUUUAGGCCUCUAAUAA
rnacentral:tRNA from 1 species